rnacentral:rRNA from 1 species
CUUAACACAUGCAAGUCGAACGGAAAGGCCCUGCUUGCAGGGUACUCGAGUGGCGAACGGGUGAGUAACACGUGGGUGAUCUGCCCUGCACUUCGGGAUAAGCUUGGGAAACUGGGUCUAAUACCGGAUAGGAGCCAUCUUUAGUGUGGUGGUUGGAAAGUUUUUUCGGUGUAGGAUGAGCUCGCGGCCUAUCAGCUUGUUGGUGGGGUAAUGGCCUACCAAGGCGGCGACGGGUAGCCGGCCUGAGAGGGUGUACGGCCACAUUGGGACUGAGAUACGGCCCAGACUCCUACGGGAGGCAGCAGUGGGGAAUAUUGCACAAUGGGCGCAAGCCUGAUGCAGCGACGCCGCGUGGGGGAUGAAGGCCUUCGGGUUGUAAACUCCUUUCGCUAGGGACGAAGCUUUGCUGUGACGGUACCUAGAUAAGAAGCACCGGCUAACUACGUGCCAGCAGCCGCGGUAAUACGUAGGGUGCGAGCGUUGUCCGGAAUUACUGGGCGUAAAGGGCUCGUAGGUGGUUUGUCGCGUCGUCUGUGAAAUUCUGGGGCUUAACUCCGGGCGUGCAGGCGAUACGGGCAUAACUUGAGUGCUGUAGGGGUAACUGGAAUUCCUGGUGUAGCGGUGAAAUGCGCAGAUAUCAGGAGGAACACCGAUGGCGAAGG